rnacentral:pre_miRNA from 1 species
AAAAGGUUAGUCAGCUGGGACGGUCCGUGGUUUGCGUAGGCCUUCGAUUGGCGAUAUUUCUGCACAUGAAUGCAUCGCGCAUCGACGAUCUGCGCAUGCCAUGAACGUUCCAUACCUUUU